rnacentral:ncRNA from 1 species
GAUAGGUCUCUGUCGCUACCGUGAUUGGACACUGACACAGAGUCAACUAGCCUUGUUGACGCGGUUCUUCGCGCGUGGAGUGGAACCGGGGCGGUCCGAGCCAUGAGGGGGGAGGCUCGGACCGUCCGCC